GACAGAGGGUGCGAACGUUGUUCGGAAUUACUGGGCGUAAAGCGCAUGUAGGCGGCAGCGCAAGUCGGGCGUGAAAUCCCACGGCUCAACCGUGGAAGUGCACUCGAAACUGCGCAGCUAGAGUCCUGGAGAGGAAGGUGGAAUGCUUGGUGUAGAGGUGAAAUUCGUAGAUAUCAAGCGGAACACCGGUGGCGAAGGCGGCCUUCUGGGCAGUUUAGCUGACACUGAGGCGCGACAGCGUGGGGAGCAAACAGG
rnacentral:rRNA from 1 species